rnacentral:lncRNA from 1 species
AUUUAGAGUCUGCAUAUCGAAUGUAUAAGGUACAGCUGGACACAGCACAAUAUUUUCUAUGAAAUGCAAAAGGAGCUAUUAUCCAAUAAGAAAUACAUCUGGCUUUGGUGUAGCAGAGCUUUCCCAAAGGCAAAGAAUCGCUGUGAUAGUUAAACCUGAGACCAGAGGAUGGACGGGAUUCCUGCUGGAGCAUUAGAGCUUGCAUGAGGAGCGGGAUCUUGGUUGCCCUAGAACCAUUUUAUGGAGGAAAAAAUCACCUGUGACUACUACUGCAGGCAUUUGAAUGGAUCACGCCUUUCAGUGGAGAUGAGACAUCUCUCUUGUUUAUGUGAGGAUCCUCCUUCUUAUCCCAAAAGGAGAAGAGAGGGGACAAAAAGGAAGGAGAGACCUUCUCCCCUGUUGCACACAGCAGGGCCAUGGGAUGCCGCUGGAUGCUGGUGAUUCCAUUUAUGCCAUCUGGCACAGUGCCCCACAUUACCCUCAGAAUGGUUGAAGAAUGGACAUCAGCAGAAGUCAGAGGAAAGCAGAAGAGUCCUUGACCAUUACCCCAUGAAAAGUUGUAUUCCUUAAG